AACUACAUUUUAAUUACAGAGCUGGGGUUUACAUAAUCGCAAAUUACAUAAUACCGCUGUGCACUAAAAACCCUUCCAUAGGUGAAGCUUCACACCAUCCGGUCUUUUUAACAUUUUCCAGAGAGGGCUGGAAAAGUCUGCUGAAUAAUUGAGGGGAGGGAGGGAAUGGGGUGCUGGAAAAGUCACCCUUGACAAGCUGCACAGUCGACCAAACGUUCCAGUAUAAAGAGGGACUCCGAGCAGGUUUUACCAUCUUCAUAAAAAUACUUGGAGGACAGCUGCAUUCACAGACGUCAAAUACGUGAUGACUUCUUUGACCAUUCUUCUCAGUCUUUUCUUUCCCAAAUAAGCACUUUCAGAUACGGUUCAAGAUGGGACCGUCUGGUUGCAGGAAAACAAGCUCAAGGAUCCUACUGAGUCUACAUUAUGACAUGGCAAUGGCAGCUUAGAGAGGUUCAGCUACUUGGGUCACCCCUUGUCGGGUGGGGGAGCUGAACCUUGGAUGCAGGGGUAUUUGUCUCCACUGUCUGAACUCUUCCUAACUGUUUGGAAUGACAGAAUGAGGAAAUGCACCCAAGGAAGAAGAGAGUGUGAGGGAUGUCUUUCUCACUGUGUUCAUAUCAUUGUCUGAUGAUUAGAAUGACUGACAUGAUAAAUACAG